AAGCUAAGACUCUUUGCGCCGAUGGUACUGCAGGGGGGACCCUGUGGGAGAGUAGGACACCGCCGGAC
rnacentral:rRNA from 1 species